GAACGCUUGUCGAGAUUUCGGUUUUGGCGAGAGUGGCGCACGGGUGAGUAGCGCGUGGGAACCUGCCCUGUUGUGGGGGAUAACCGAGGGAAACUUCGGCUAAUACCGCAUACGCCCGGGGGCGACUCCGGGGAAAGAUUGAUCGCAGCAGGAGGGGCCCGCGUCGGAUUAGGUAGUUGGCGGGGUAACGGCCCACCAAGCCUGUGAUCCGUAGCUGGUCUGAGAGGAUGAUCAGCCACACUGGGACUGAGACACGGCCCAGACUCCUACGGGAGGCAGCAGUGGGGAAUAUUGGACAAUGGGCGCAAGCCUGAUCCAGCAAUGCCGCGUGAGUGAUGAAGGCCUUCGGGUUGUAAAGCUCUUUCGCACGCGAGGAUGAUGACGCUAGCGUGAGAAGAAGCCCCGGCUAACUUCGUGCCAGCAGCCGCGGUAAUACGAAGGGGGCGAGCGUUGUUCGGAUUUACUGGGCGUAAAGGGCGCGUAGGCGGUGCGGCAAGUCAGGCGUGAAAGCCCCGGGCUCAACCUGGGAGGUGCGCUUGGGACUGCGGCACUGGAGUUCGGGAGAGGAGCGUGGAAUUCCCAGUGUAGAGGUGAAAUUCGUAGAUAUUGGGAAGAACACCGGUGGCGAAGGCGGCGCUCUGGACCGAUACUGACGCUGAGGCGCGAAAGCGUGGGGA
rnacentral:rRNA from 2 species